rnacentral:tRNA from 1 species
GCCCUCAUGGUCUAGAGGCUUAGGACGCUGCCCUCUCAAGGCAGAGGCCGCCGGUUCGAAUCCGGCUGGGGGUAC